UGAGUACGAGACGCUACGGCGUCGAAGCAGUCUAUGUCAUACUUCCAAGAAAAGCUUGCACUGUCAUAAACAAAUAAUGCCUGUACCAUAACCGACACAGGUGGGUAGGUAGAGUAUACUAAGGGGCGCGAGAUAACUCUCUCUAAGGAACUCGGCAAAAUGACUCCGUAACUUCGGGAGAAGGAGUGCCUUAUUCUUAAGGUUGCAAUAACAAGAUCCAAGCAACUGUUUACCAAAAACACAGGUCUCCGCUAAGUCGUAAGACGAUGUAUGGGGGCUGACGCCUGCCCAGUGCCAGAAGGUUAAAGAAGUUGGUUAGCAUUCGCGAAGCUGAUAACUGAAGCCCUGGUGAACGGCGGCCGUAACUAUAACGGUCCUAAGGUAGCGAAAUUCCUUGUCGGGUAAGUUCCGACCCGCACGAAAGGCGUAAUGAUUUGGAUACUGUCUCGGAGAGGGGCUCGGUGAAAUAGACUUGUCUGUGAAGAUGCGGACCACCUGCACCUGGACAGAAAGACCCUAUGAAGCUUUACUGUAACUUGAAAUUGAAAUUGGACUUUAUUUGCGCAGUAUAGGUGGGAGGCGUUGAGAAUAUUCUUGCGGGAAUAUUGGAGCCAUCAGUGAGAUACCACUCUUGUAAUGUUAGAUUUCUAACUUUGAAUCAUUAUCUGGUCAAAGGACAGUUUCAGGCGGGCAGUUUGACUGGGGCGGUCGCCUCCUAAAUGGUAACGGAGGCGCACAAAGGUUUCCUCUGAACGGGUAGAAAUCGUAUCUAGAGUGUAAAGGCAUAAGGAAGCUUGACUGUGAGACCUACAAGUCGAGCAGGGACGAAAGUCGGUCUUAGUGAUCUGUCGGUGCUGAGUGGAAAGGCCGUCACUCAACGGAUAAAAGUUACUCUAAGGAUAACAGGCUGAUCUCCCCCAAGAGUUCACAUCGACGGGGAGGUUUGGCACCUCGAUGUCGGCUCAUCGCAUCCUGGGGCGGUAGUACGUCCCAAGGGUUGGGCUGUUCGCCCAUGAAAGCGGUACGCGAGCUGGGUUCAGAACGUCGUGAGACAGUUCGGUCCAUAUCCGGUGUAGGCGUUAGAAUAUUGAGAGGAGCCUUCUUUAGUACGAGAGGACCGAGAAGGACAUACCUCUGGUGUACCAGUUAUCGUGCCAACGGUAAACGCUGGGUAGCUAUGUAUUGAGAGGAUAACCGCUGAAAGCAUCUAAGUGGGAAGCCCACCUCGAGAUAAGUAUUC
rnacentral:rRNA from 1 species